ACCACUACUUCGGCCGAGACGGGCGCAGAGAGUCGGUCCCGGCCACGGUCGUCAUGUCUUCUCAGAAAGCUCUGACAGCCGGCAGUCAAGGUGCUGCAGUCUCAUCUCUUCCAGUGACGCCCGGUCCUGUGUACAAGGAGCUGGAGCUGUCGACAGACCAGCCGUACCUCUGAGGAUCAACCCCAACCACCUCUGAGGAGCAACCCCGACCACCUCUGAGGAUCAACCCCGACCACCUCUGAGGAGCAGAUCAACCCCAACCACCUCUGAGGAUCAACCGCAACCACCUCUGAGGAUCAACCCCGACCACCUCUGAGGAUCAAUCCCGACCACCUCUGAGGAGCAGAUCAACCGCAACCACCUCUGAGGAUCAACCCCGACCACCUCUGAGGAGCAGAUCAACCCCGACCACCUCUGAGGAGCAGAUCAACCCCGACCACCUCUGAGGAUGAACCCCGACCACCUCUGAGGAUCAACCCCAACCACCUCUGAGGAUCAACCCCAACCACCUCUGAGGAGCCGAUCCCCCUAACAUCCACCUGCAUUUGUUGGCUGUACUAUAGAAAAUGUGAAUAAAAUGUGUUCUAUUUA